UACAGAGGUCUCAAGCGUUGUUCGGAUUCAUUGGGCGUAAAGGGCGCGUAGGCGGGAUGGCAAGUCAGUCGUGAAAUCUCUCGGCUCAACCGAGAAACGUCGGCUGAUACUGCCGUUCUUGAGGGAUGCAGAGGAGACUGGAAUUCCCGGUGUAGCGGUGAAAUGUGUAGAGAUCGGGAGGAACACCGGUGGCGAAGGCGGGUCUCUGGGCAUUUCCUGACGCUGAGGCGCGAAAGCGUGGGGAGCAAACGGG
rnacentral:rRNA from 1 species